rnacentral:rRNA from 1 species
AACGCGAAGAACCUUACCUAGACUUGACAUCUCCUGCAUUACUCUUAAUCGAGGAAGUCCCUUCGGGGACAGGAUGACAGGUGGUGCAUGGUUGUCGUCAGCUCGUGUCGUGAGAUGUUGGGUUAAGUCCCGCAACGAGUGCAACCCUUAUUGUUAGUUGCCAUCAUUAAGUUGGGCACUCUAGCGAGACUGCCCGGGUUAACCGGGAGGAAGGUGGGGAUGACGUCAAAUCAUCAUGCCCCUUAUGUCUAGGGCUACACACGUGCUACAAUGGUCGGUACAAUAAGACGCAAGCCCGCGAGGGGGAGCAAAACUGGAAAACCGAUCUCAGUUCGGAUUGUAGGCUGAAACUCGCCUACAUGAAGCUGGAGUUGCUAGUAAUCGCGAAUCAGAAUGUCGCGGUGAAUACGUUCCCGGGUCUUGUACACACCG